UACGUAGGGGGCAAGCGUUGUCCGGAUUUAUUGGGCGUAAAGAGCGUGUAGGCGGCCAGGUAGGUCUGCUGUGAAAACUCGAGGCUUAACCUCGAGCUGUCGGCGGAAACCAUCUGGCUAGAGUCCGGAAGAGGAGAGUGGAAUUCCCGGUGUGAGCGGUGAAAUGCGUAGAGAUCGGCAGGAACACCCAAGGGGAAGCCAGCUGGCUGGGCAUUUGCUGACGCUCAUGUGCGACAGCGUGGGGAGCGAACUGG
rnacentral:rRNA from 1 species